AUUGAACGCUGGCGGCAUGCCUUACACAUGCAAGUCGAACGGCAGCACGGGGCAACCUGGUGGCGAGUGGCGAACGGGUGAGUAAUGCAUCGGAACGUACCUUUCAGUGGGGGAUAAUGUAGCGAAAGUUACGCUAAUACCGCAUAUUCUGUGAGCAGGAAAGCAGGGGAUCGCAAGACCUUGCGCUGAUUGAGCGGCCGAUGUCAGAUUAGCUAGUUGGUGAGGUAAAGGCUCACCAAGGCGACGAUCUGUAGCGGGUCUGAGAGGAUGAUCCGCCACACUGGAGCUGAGACACGGUCCAGACUCCUACGGGAGGCAGCAGUGGGGAAUUUUGGACAAUGGGGGCAACCCUGAUCCAGCCAUGCCGCGUGAGUGAAGAAGGCCUUCGGGUUGUAAAGCUCUUUCGGCCGGGAAGAAAUCGCACGGGCUAAUACCCUGUGUGGAUGACGGUACCGGAAUAAGAAGCACCGGCUAACUACGUGCCAGCCGCCGCUGUAACAC
rnacentral:rRNA from 1 species